rnacentral:rRNA from 1 species
CCCUUUGAUGUUCUGGGCCGCACGCGCGCUACACUGAUGCAUUCAACGAGUCUAAAACCUGCUCUGAUAGGGGUGGGUAAUCUUUUGAAUGUGCAUCGUGAUUGGGAUAGAUGAUUGCAAUUUUUCAUCUUCAACGAGGAAUGCCUAGUAAACGCAAGUCAUCAGCUUGCAUUGAUUACGUCCCUGCCCUUUGUACACACCGCCCGUCGCUCCUACCGAUUGAAUGAUCCGAUGAAUAUCAUGGAUUGAGGAUGUAAGCAGGUUCGCCUGUCUUCAUCUUCGAGAAGUGAAGUAAAUCUUAUCAUUUAGAGGAAGGAGAAGUCGUAACA